UUGCUUCAUCUGUGCCAUCGCCACUUUUAUCUAACACUGACUGCUUAAAUUAAAUUGGCUAUUGAUUAGUUGCGUUGGACUCGACAAAGCUAAUGUUUUAGUGUACAAAAAGACCACUGGGGCUUCUACAUAACAGUGAUGUUACUUUCUCCUGGUGAUUGCGGCAUGGGAUAUGCUGAUCCUUCUGACUGUUCCUGCCAUCCUGAUGCUUAUUUAUUGCUAUUCACACGAAGGCUUUGAUGAAUAUUCAGGACACUGCUAUUGAA
rnacentral:lncRNA from 1 species